rnacentral:miRNA from 1 species
UUGGGUUGGCCAAAAAGUUUGUUAGGGUUUUCUGGCAAGAUAUGACAGAAAAAUCCAAACAAACUGUUUGGCCAGCCCAAU